UCCAGGGAUGGGAGGAGCUCAGGUCUGGGUGGAGCUGAGGACCAAAGGUGGGCAUAAUGCUUACACUAAUGUAUGUACUAGGGCCAGGAUUCGAACCAAGUCUGAGUCCAGAGCCUGUGUGCUUCCUGACAGCACUAGCCAUGGAGUUGUUAUUACCCCUGAAUAUUUUACCCAUCCCACAGUUGUGAGCACAGGAAGGUGUUUGUUGUUGUGUUAGUUAGCAUCAAUAUACCAAGCAGUGCUUAAGCCUUCUUGGGAGGAAAUGGUGUAGAAUGGGUUUGGUGAGGCGUAGGACAAAGCCCGGUUUAGUACUUCAAUGUUGCUAUUUGUAGGACCACUUGCAUAGGGGCCUAGACCACCAUAAACUCGCAGAAGCACACACAUACCAGACUUCCUGGGUUGCUGAUGUAAGAAAACUCCAAUAACUCCAUUUUAGCAUGUUGCCUUGGGCCAGAAGCAGCUAAGGCUGCUUUGGGAGAGUAAGAUAAACAUUAUCAGCAUUGGACUUGACUGCAGUUUAACCCCAAGGUCUUUGAGAGGCCAGGGUAUUAGGAGGGGAGGAGGAAUGUGGACCUUUGAACUCGCUCUCUUCAUUGGCCUUCCCAUCUAAGAGCAUGGAGCUGUGUCAGGCAGUAUCAGGCUCUGCAGCCAUGGUUCUGCUCCCCAGCCAGGGAAUAGAUCCUUGGGCCAGGCAGGAAAUCAACUCCGUGAGGUGACCUUCACUUCUCUUUGGCCACAGACCCCCUGUCCCCAUGGACACAAAAGAGUCUUUCAGAACCUGGUCACCUAGCAUUGAACUUUUCAAUAAGGCUUUUUGUUGUUGUUUUUUUUUUUCUUCCUCUAAGCUCCUUGGCUAAAAUACCAGAUCCCACUGUUGCUAAGAUUAGGGAUUUUCUCCUCCCUUUUCCCCUAGCUCAGUUUCUAUUGACUAGGAGAGGCAUAGAGAUAGAUUACUGUUUUCAUGCCAAAUGGAGAGCGGGUGCUUGAGCCUCUGGGGCUUUGGGAAGGAUUAGCCAUUAUUCAGGCUUGUGUUAAUAGGUCUUAGUUACUGUGCACACUCACCCUAAAGUCACACCCGGGAAGAUCUGUAUGUAAGGAAAACCAUGGGGUCCACUAAGAGGUAAUCGAACAUGAAUAUUUAUAUACUGUAUGGCCUGUGUGCCAUGAUUCACUCUGCUUAUUUUCAUUUUAUGCAUUUUGUUCCCAUUUGCAGUCUCUAUUUAUUGCAAAGUUAGGGUGGUUAGCAAGCUAACAUAUCAGGGUGAAUUUCCUUUUUCUGGUUAUUUUUUUUUGCAUUGUUUUUAAAUUAAUUUUCCUGCUUUCUUCUAAUCUGUAUCUGGGAAAGGGUGCCAGCAAGAAAGCACAAAUGGUCACCAGUGCCAAACCCCAAGACACUAGGGAGUAUUGUGCUUAUCUUGGGGUUCUUGUUGGCAUAUUCCCCGCCGCUCACAGGAGUACUGGGUGCCCUGUGGUUCACACUGUGGCUGGUUUUUGGAUUGCUUUUGCUGAAAAGCAUGGACCCACAAAUUCAUUAAAAGCAGGAGAAAAGCUUGGCAGCCCUGCCUCCGUUCUGCAUGCCUUGACUCUAAAUCAUUCUCUCUACAGUUGCUUUGCAGUCACCUUGGGUUGAGGGAAGGGUCGGUCUGACUGAUAUAUUUUGGAUGAAAGACUGAAACCACCCCUAAGGAUGAGUAGACAAACCAGCCAGCCCCCAGAUGAGCAUAAUUACCUAUCAUGAUGAGGCUGCACCUGGAAUGGAAAUGGCCAUCUCGAGAGAACUGGAUGGCCACCCGCUUCAAGUGACGAUGGCCAUUAACAACUCUCCAGAACCCCUGGGAGACAUGGACUGAGAUAGUGGUCAACCAGCUGACCUUGAUGACAGCUUUCCGAUCUCAGCCUCCUUCUGCCCAAUCAACACUCCCACACCUGCUUCCUAUGACUGCAUCCCCAGUGACAACUCCCAGUCAUGAAACCUACAUGACAUGUCCUGAGUUUGAGACCUGGUCUCAAAGUUUGACUCUGUGCUGAGUGCUCCAAUAAUUCUGGUAGAUUCACAGCAGAUUUUUCAUCUGCUAUUAAGAGGCUCUACUUAUGAGAACUAAAUAAAGAUCAUGCAUUUGAAUUCUAA